AGAGUUUGAUCCUGGCUCAGAUUGAACGCUGGCGGCAUGCCUUACACAUGCAAGUCGGACGGCAGCGCGGGGGCAACCCUGGCGGCGAGUGGCGAACGGGUGAGUAAUACAUCGGAACGUGUCCUGGAGUGGGGGAUAGCCCGGCGAAAGCCGAAUUAAUACCGCAUACGAUCCUUGGAUGAAAGCGGGGGACCGAAAGGCCUCGCGCUCAAGGAGCGGCCGAUGGCGGAUUAGCUAGUUGGUGAGGUAAAGGCCCACCAAGGCGACGAUCCGUAGCUGGUCUGAGAGGACGACCAGCCACACUGGGACUGAGACACGGCCCAGACUCCUACGGGAGGCAGCAGUGGGGAAUUUUGGACAAUGGGGGCAACCCUGAUCCAGCAAUGCCGCGUGUGUGAAGAAGGCCUUCGGGUUGUAAAGCACUUUUGUCCGGAAAGAAAACUUUCGCCCGAAUACGGUGGAGGGAUGACGGUACCGGAAGAAUAAGCACCGGCUAACUACGUGCCAGCAGCCGCGGUAAUACGUAGGGUGCGAGCGUUAAUCGGAAUUACUGGGCGUAAAGCGUGCGCAGGCGGUGAUGUAAGACCGAUGUGAAAUCCCCGGGCUUAACCUGGGAACUGCAUUGGUGACUGCAUUGCUGGAGUAUGGCAGAGGGGGGUGGAAUUCCACGUAGCAGUGAAAUGCGUAGAGAUGUGGAGGAACACCGAUGGCGAAGGCAGCCCCCUGGGCCAAUACUGACGCUCAUGCACGAAAGCGUGGGGAGCAAACAGGAUUAGAUACCCUAGUAGUCC
rnacentral:rRNA from 1 species